CCUCCUAACCCAGACUCAAAGGCCAAAGGGGAAGGCUUCCAGAGAGGAGGACAUGAUGUAAGGAGCUGGAGCAUGGGCGCUGGUCUGUGGGCCCAGCACUCACCCCUCUAGGGCAGGGAGGAGGGACAGAAAGCCUGGUUUCUUCUGUGAUUCUAUCAGGGAUUCUCCCUCACUCUUCAGCGGCUAUGGUUGCCACAAAUUCUGUUCCCUGAUCCUUCAGAUCAGAAAGACUGUGGAUUUUCUGUCAGUUUAAGACACCUGUCAGGAUACUGAUGGCAGCUUGCUUUCAGGCUAAGCCAUAAAAUCAGGAGACUCAUCUCAUAUGAUUUCCUUCUUCCAAGUAUCACUUUCCAUUUAGAAUCUGCCUGCUUUUGCAUAUUCUCCAAGACCUUCAGUGCAACAUUCACCUACAGUUCUUCAAGUAUCAGAAAGAAAGAUGUAGUCACUGAACUGCCACCCUCCAUCACUGCGUUACUGAUGCCAGCCUAUCACAGCCUUUGAAACAACGUAAGAGGAAGAAAUCAAGAUCCUAACAUCUUCGUUCCUCAUCACCGACUCCUGACUGUGAGCCCUCAUCGUAUAUAAGCCCCUAGACUCCUCACGGAGGAAGGGGGAACAUUUCUUGAGCCAUGAACCUACUGUGUUCCCCUCUCCACGGACAGAAUAAAACCACCU